rnacentral:snoRNA from 14 species
AGCUAGAAUCACAUCCUGAUAACGGCUUCUGUCCUGGUGUGCUAGAGUCCUCAAAGGAUCUGCUGGUCCUGAGUCAUUGACAGAACCAGUUAGUAUC